rnacentral:rRNA from 1 species
UUUGAGCAUGGCUCAGGAACGAACGCUGGCGGCGUGCCUAAUACAUGCAAGUAGAACGCUGAAGAGAGGAGCUUGCUCUUCUUGGAUGAGUUUGCGAACGGGUGAGUAACGCGUAGGUAACCUGCCUUGUAGCGGGGGAUAACUAUUGGAAACGAUAGCUAAUACCGCAUAACAAUAGGUGACACAUGUCAUUUAUUUGAAAGGGGCAAUUGCUCCACUACAAGAUGGACCUGCGUUGUAUUAGCUAGUAGGUGAGGUAACGGCUCACCUAGGCGACGAUACAUAGCCGACCUGAGAGGGUGAUCGGCCAUACUGGGACUGAGACACGGCCCAGACUCCUACGGGAGGCAGCAGUAGGGAAUCUUCGGCAAUGGGGGCAACCCUGACCGAGCAACGCCGCGUGAGUGAAGAAGGUUUUCGGAUCGUAAAGCUCUGUUGUAAGUCAAGAACGAGUGUGAGAGUGGAAAGUUCACACUGUGACGGUAGCUUACCAGAAAGGGACGGCUAACUACGUGCCAGCAGCCGCGGUAAUACGUAGGUCCCGAGCGUUGUCCGGAUUUAUUGGGCGUAAAGCGAGCGCAGGCGGUUUGAUAAGUCUGAAGUUAAAGGCUGUGGCUCAACCAUAGUUCGCUUUGGAAACUGUCAAACUUGAGUGCAGAAGGGGAGAGUGGAAUUCCAUGUGUAGCGGUGAAAUGCGUAGAUAUAUGGAGGAACACCGGUGGCGAAAGCGGCUCUCUGGUCUGUAACUGACGCUGAGGCUCGAAAGCGUGGGGAGCGAACAGGAUUAGAUACCCUGGUAGUCCACGCCGUAAACGAUGAGUGCUAGGUGUUGGAUCCUUUCCGGGAUUCAGUGCCGCAGCUAACGCAUUAAGCACUCCGCCUGGGGAGUACGACCGCAAGGUUGAAACUCAAAGGAAUUGACGGGGGCCCGCACAAGCGGUGGAGCAUGUGGUUUAAUUCGAAGCAACGCGAAGAACCUUACCAGGUCUUGACAUCCCGAUGCUAUUUCUAGAGAUAGAAAGUUACUUCGGUACAUCGGUGACAGGUGGUGCAUGGUUGUCGUCAGCUCGUGUCGUGAGAUGUUGGGUUAAGUCCCGCAACGAGCGCAACCCCUAUUGUUAGUUGCCAUCAUUCAGUUGGGCACUCUAGCGAGGCUGCCGGUAAUAAACCGGAGGAAGGUGGGGAUGACGUCAAAUCAUCAUGCCCCUUAUGACCUGGGCUACACACGUGCUACAAUGGUUGGUACAACGAGUUGCGAGUCGGUGACGGCAAGCUAAUCUCUUAAAGCCAAUCUCAGUUCGGAUUGUAGGCUGCAACUCGCCUACAUGAAGUCGGAAUCGCUAGUAAUCGCGGAUCAGCACGCCGCGGUGAAUACGUUCCCGGGCCUUGUACACACCGCCCGUC